AAUAAAAUAGAUGGACAAAGCAAAUUGGGAUGCAUAUCAUAUUAAAAUAUUUUGUGAGAUAUGCAAAGAAGAGACGGAGAAGUACAAUAGGCCGGGAGGUUAUUUGAGUCCCAAAGGUUACAACAAUCUUCAGGAGAAAUUUUUUGAGCUAGCUAAGAAAAGACGCACAAGAAGGCAAUUCAAAAACAAAUGGGACCAAUUGAAGAAACAAUAUGCUCGGUAUAUGGCGUUGAAGAAUUCUGAAUUCUGCAACUGGACUUGGUUGGAAUGAAAAGAUGGGAACAAUUGAAGCUGAUGAUAGUUGGUGGGACAUUCAUCUUAAGGACAUGCAAAGUGGCGGUACAUGGGCCCUCCCAACUUGAAGGAGAUGGAUGUUAUGUUUGAAAAUGCUCAUAUCACCGGGGAAACAACCUCCAUUCCAGGAGAGGUAUCCAAUAGCUCAGAUGGUUGGAGCCCCACAAUCUUUCUCUCAAGUUGAAAAUCGUUUUGCAAGAUCAACUGAAACAAUUCAUCGAAAGUUCAAAGAAGUGUUGGAUUGUCUGCGCAAGUUAUCAUCCAACAACAUAAAACCCACUGAUUAUUCUUUCUCAACUCCUCAUGAAAGAAUUAAAGAUGAUCGAUUUUGGCCACAUGUUUUGCGACAAACUGUACCACUACAAGGCGAUAGUACCUCAUCUUUACUUGAUGCGGUAAACAUGAAUGAUCUUCGUGAGAGCAUAGAUGUAGGAAAUAGGAAGUAUAUUUUGGUAUAAAUAUAUGGACAAUGAUAUAUGAACAAUGUUCAUGAUGAUGUAUGAACAACUAAUGUUAUAUAUGAACAAUGUUAGCAAUUAUCAUA